AAUACAUUAAUUGAAGAAAAUAAAAGGAAGGAUGACUAACAUCCAGCUCCAUGAGGUGAUAUUUUAAGGACACUAAGACCUUGGGUUGUGCAUCUUUUGUUGGAUCCCGCGGACUUUGAGGAUAUUGCUUUCUUUUUCAUUCAGCGCUCACGUGUAUUUCUAUGCCUCCAAUUAAUCAACUAAACAGCUGACUCCUGAAAGCUAAAAUUAAGAGCCAAAAUGACAAUUUUUUUUAAGCCUUUGGAACAAAUUAUUCUUAUAAUUCACUGACCAAUGAUUUUUUAUCCUUUUCUUUAAAUCUUCUAACCCAUGCAUAAUCAGUAAAUUAUCAAUUGAUUUUAAAUCAUAAUCUUAUGUUGGUAAAGUAGUUUCACCUGAUACUACAACAACGUAACUAAGAUUCAAUUCUAAACAAGUUGGGAUUGAUUAUAUAAAUUCUCAUUGUCUAUUUUUCUCCAUUUAAAUUUAUCAUAGACCAGCAUUAUAAAAAUAAAAAUAAAAAGUAUUAAAAGUUCUUUAUAGUUUUCAAUUUGCAUAAAAAUCUCACAAUAUCCUUCUCAGUUUCCACCCAUGGGUAUAUUGUUGUUGUAGCAGGGGCGAAACCACGUUGGGUUAUUGCAGAAUGUAAUCUCCCUUCUUGAUGAGUUAGUUAUUAAUUAAAAAGAAAAGGCAGAAGAGAUAAACGAACAGAAGAAAAAGAAAAAGAAAGCUAAUAUUAGUGUGUCAAUAAUAAGAGACCAGUUUAAGUGUCUUUUAUUGCGUCUAUAAUGUUGGAAGAGGAUUGCUAUUAAUAUUUGGAGGGAGACUUUCAGGUUAAGGGAAUUUUGGAAGAGUACAAAGAUUUUGGAGAAGAGAAACUUUUAAUACUCAAACUUGUUUUUGAUUUUUUUGGCUUGAUAUGUUGUGUGUUGUGUGUUAUACAAAUGC
rnacentral:lncRNA from 1 species